CUUCGGGGAACGAUAACGGCGUCGAGCGGCGGACGGGUGAGUAAUGCCUAGGAAAUUGCCCUGAUGUGGGGGAUAACCAUUGGAAACGAUGGCUAAUACCGCAUGAUGCCUACGGGCCAAAGAGGGGGACCUUCGGGCCUCUCGCGUCAGGAUAUGCCUAGGUGGGAUUAGCUAGUUGGUGAGGUAAGGGCUCACCAAGGCGACGAUCCCUAGCUGGUCUGAGAGGAUGAUCAGCCACACUGGAACUGAGACACGGUCCAGACUCCUACGGGAGGCAGCAGUGGGGAAUAUUGCACAAUGGGCGCAAGCCUGAUGCAGCCAUGCCGCGUGUGUGAAGAAGGCCUUCGGGUUGUAAAGCACUUUCAGUCGUGAGGAAGGUGGUGUCGUUAAUAGCUGCAUCAUUUGACGUUAGCGACAGAAGAAGCACCGGCUAACUCCGUGCCAGCAGCCGCGGUAAUACGGAGGGUGCGAGCGUUAAUCGGAAUUACUGGGCGUAAAG
rnacentral:rRNA from 1 species